GUGCCCAAGAGGAUGGUCAGCUCAGCAGAAGAGGUGGUGAAGGAAGAGCCCAAGAGGACAUCAGCGCGGUUGUCUGUUAAACCUGCUGCUGCAAAAGUGGAAAUGAAGCCAAAAAUGAAAACAAGAGAGAAUAAAUCUUCAGACAAAAAAGUACAAACAAAAGGGAAAAAAAACGGUGCAAAGGGAGAACAGGGUGACAUGGCUAACCAAGAAACUAAAGAAGAUCGACCUGCAGAAAAUAGUGACAUGAAAACCGAGGAGAAUCCAGCCUUUGAUGAAAUGAGAGAGAAAGAAGCCAAGUCUC
rnacentral:lncRNA from 1 species